GACGAACGCUGGCGGCGUGCUUAACACAUGCAAGUCGAACGGAAAGGCCCUGCUUUUGUGGGGUGCUCGAGUGGCGAACGGGUGAGUAACACGUGAGUAACCUGCCCUUGACUUUGGGAUAACUUCAGGAAACUGGGGCUAAUACCGGAUAGGAGCUCCUGCUGCAUUGUGGGGGUUGGAAAGUUUCGGCGGUUGGGGAUGGACUCGCGGCUUAUCAGCUUGUUGGUGGGGUAGUGGCUUACCAAGGCUUUGACGGGUAGCCGGCCUGAGAGGGUGAACGGCCACAUUGGGACUGAGAUACGGCCCAGACUCCUACGGGCGGCAGCAGUGGGGAAUAUUGCACAAUGGGCGGAAGCCUGAUGCAGCAACGCCGCGUGCGGGAUGACGGCCGUCGGGUUGUAAACCGCUUUCGCCUGUGACGAAGCGUGAGUGACGGUAAUGGGUAAAGAAGCACCGGCUAACUACGUG
rnacentral:rRNA from 1 species